UACGAAGGGUGCAAGCGUUACUCGGAAUUACUGGGCGUAAAGCGUGCGUAGGCGGUUCGUUAAGUCCGAUGUGAAAGCCCUGGGCUCAACCUGGGAAUGGCAUUGGAUACUGGCGGGCUAGAGUGCGGUAGAGGGCAGUGGAAUUCCCGGUGUAGCAGUGAAAUGCGUAGAGAUCGGGAGGAACAUCUGUGGCGAAGGCGACUGCCUGGACCAGCACUGACACUGAGGCACGAAAGCGUGGGGAGCAAACAGG
rnacentral:rRNA from 1 species